UGUGGUAUGGAAAUACUAUGGUUGGUUAGUUCUGUUACAUUUUCUUUUAUGAAUUUCAUAUUGCCUCCAAUCUUAACUAAAUUAACCAAAUGUAUUCACUCUCUGCUUCAUAUGCAGGAAAAGCUUCGGCAGACUCGUGAAUUAUAUGCCUCCUUUAAUGCAAUGUUGGAGAUAAAAGACUUGAUGCUAAAGAAGACUUCUUUGUUAAACUCUAUAAACCCACCAAUUUGACAUUUUUAAAGAGGUCAUUGUCAGACGACAACAUUCUUUGUGAAAGCAAUUCACCCAUUGAAGCCACUGAUGUUUGACAAAAUGAAUAUCACAAUCAGCCUUUGC